CAAUAGCGUAUAUUAAAGUUGUUGCAGUUAAAAAGCUCGUAGUUGAAUUUCUGGUGGGCGCGCCGGUCUUCCAAGUGUUGUACUGGGCGCAGUCCGCCAUCCUUGUGGAGAGGGCUCGCAUUGAGUUGCGUGUCGGAUCUGCAUCAUUUACUGUGAAAAAAUUAGAGUGUUUAAAGCAGGCUGUCGCUUGAAUACAUUAGCAUGGAAUAAUAAGAUAGGACUUCGGUCUAUUUUGUUGGUUGCGAACCGAGGUAAUGAUUAAUAGGGAUAGUUGGGGGUAUUCAUAUUUAAUUGUCAGAGGUGAAAUUCUUGGAUUUGCUGAAGAUGAACAACUGCGAAAGCAUUUACCAAGGAUGUUUUCAUUAA
rnacentral:rRNA from 1 species